ACCGGUAUGGUGUAGUGGUUUGAGUGUUAGACUAUGAAUCUGGAGACCAGGGUUUGAUUCCCAAACUCGGUC